rnacentral:rRNA from 1 species
UUCUGGCUCAGGACGAACGCUGGCGGCGUGCCUAACACAUGCAAGUCGAACGGACGAGAGGAGCUUGCUCCUCAAGUUAGUGGCGGACGGGUGAGUAACACGUGAGCAACCUGCCCUUCGAGGGGGACAACAGUUGGAAACGACUGCUAAUACCGCAUGACACAGCAGGGAGGCAUCUCCUUACUGUCAAAGAUUUAUCGCCGAAGGAUGGGCUCGCGUCUGAUUAGAUAGUUGGUGAGGUAACGGCCCACCAAGUCGACGAUCAGUAGCCGGACUGAGAGGUUGAACGGCCACAUUGGGACUGAGAUACGGCCCAGACUCCUACGGGAGGCAGCAGUGGGGAAUAUUGGGCAAAUGGGGGCAACCCUGACCCAGCAACGCCGCGUGAAGGAAGAAGGCUUUCGGGUUGUAAACUUCUUUGACGAGGGACGAUAGUGACGGUACCUCGAAAACAAGCCACGGCUAACUACGUGCCAGCCGCCGC